UUCCUCAUUUUGAAGUUAUGCAGUCACUACUGCUCAUCCAAGAGAACAGCUGAGGUUGUCAUGGUCCAGACCCAAAAGCAGCACUGUAUGUGGUGAACAUCAUCAAAUAUUGCCUGAAUCCAACAACUCCAGAGGUGGGAGGUAUACAGCUGUUGCAGCAAUAAUUCCAAGAGCUGCUGGUCUUGCUCUCUGGCUGUCCAUUGGUCCUGCUAGAACACUCUCCACUGCCCUAUUGCAGCUGCCUCAAUCACCAUGCAACUCUUCAAAGACUGGAGCAAAUUCUUUUCUUUCUGAACAAAGAGCAAGAACUGACCAUGCAUGCUGACCUCCAUUUUCAGGAAAGGACUGGGAAAUAGCACUGGUUCCUGCAGACUUGUGGGAUUUUCCAAGGGAUUUAAGGAAUCAACAUCUCCUACAAAGUCUAUGCUGGGAAAAAUGCUGAAGGAAAGGAAAAUAAUGUCAGCCGGUGGUGUCAUCCCUCAUGGAAAACAUUCUGAGGGAUUUGGGAUACAAUACCAAGAUCUGUCCCUGGCUUUCUUCACAUGGGUUCCUAGAUGGUGACUCCAUGUCUUUGAAAGAGUAGAUUUCUCAUCUCAUCCACCCGACGCUACACCUUUUAAUUCUUUCCACCAUCCCAGAACUCAAAAGGUAACCUAUCUGACACCUCCCACCCUCUGUCAUGCCCCCAGAACCAGACUCUCUUUUUUUCCUCCCCAAAGCUGAUAGCAAGAGAAUAUCACCAUUUUUCAAAAGGAAGUGUUUCCCCCCCUCCUUUUCCUUCAUUAUGCAGCCUUUACUUCAAUGGGACUACUCACAUGCUUAAAAUUAGGCACAUGCUUAAAUUACAUUGUAGAAUCAGGACCUUAACUAGGUAACAUAUUUUAAAGCAUUGUUCCUCCUAAUAGCAUAUAUCAUUUUGUCUGGUCAGCUAUAAUUUCAUUGUUAGGGACUGCAUUUAAAAGUCUUCGCGUCAUUAUCUGUAGGUGGCAGAAUCUACAAUGUAAUAUACUGUGCUGGAUCUGUCCAAGUCUCUUUUCCUCCUGAUUGUGGUAUACGAGCCUCAAAAUUUGCUACAUUUUG